rnacentral:rRNA from 1 species
GUGGGGAAUCUUGCGCAAUGGGCGAAAGCCUGACGCAGCCAUGCCGCGUGAAUGAUGAAGGUCUUAGGAUUGUAAAAUUCUUUCACCGGGGACGAUAAUGACGGUACCCGGAGAAGAAGCUCCGGCUAACUUCGUGCCAGCAGCCGCGGUAAUACGAAGGGGGCUAGCGUUCCUCGGAAUUACUGGGCGUAAAGGGCGCGUAGGCGGACAGCUUAGUCAGAGGUGAAAGCCCAGGGCUCAACCUUGGAAUUGCCUUUGAUACUGGCUGUGUUGAGUUUGGGAGAGGUGAGUGGAACUCCGAGUGUAGAGGUGAAAUGCGUAGAUAUUCGGAAGAACACCAGUGGCGAAGGCGACUCACUGGCCCAAUACUGACGCUGAGGCGCGAAAGCGUGGGGAGCAAACAGGAUUAGAAACCCUAGUAGUCC